CAGCAGCCACGGGAAUACGAAGGGUGCAAGCGUUAAUCGGAAUUACUGGGCGUAAAGCGUGCGUAGGCGGUUCGUUAAGUCUGUUGUGAAAGCCCCGGGCUCAACCUGGGAAUGGCAAUGGAUACUGGCGAGCUAGAGUGUGUCAGAGGAUGGUGGAAUUCCCGGUGUAGCGGUGAAAUGCGUAGAGAUCGGGAGGAACAUCAGUGGCGAAGGCGGCCAUCUGGGACAACACUGACGCUGAGGCACGAAAGCGUGGGGAGCAAACAGGAUUAGAUACCACCGUAGUCCCUGUCUCUUAUAC
rnacentral:rRNA from 1 species